rnacentral:lncRNA from 1 species
GACUCUUCAACAAUCAAUAAGCUUCAAAAUUAAGAGAAUACCAAAAAGUUAAGAUAUAUCAAUCCGCAUAUUCUUGAAGUUCCAACAACUCAUCAUCUAGUGAUCUUUCUAGGUAAACUUCCUAGUGAAAUAUUUUAUUAUUUCUUUGUACAUAAAAUUGUGAUAAGUGCUACUUAUCACUUAAGGGAACUGAUCAUGUACUCAAUAAUUUAUUUUUGUAGAUCAUGUGUUAAUGUAAGUUUUGUGGGAUAUUUGGUGAGAGACAAC